UACGAAGGGGGCUAGCGUUGCUCGGAAUCACUGGGCGUAAAGCGCACGUAGGCGGCUUCUUAAGUCAGGGGUGAAAUCCUGGAGCUCAACUCCAGAACUGCCUUUGAUACUGAGGAGCUUGGAGUCCGGGAGAGGUGAGUGGAACUGCGAGUGUAGAGGUGAAAUUCGUAGAUAUUCGCAAGAACCCCAGUGGCGAAGGCGGCUCACUGGCCCGGUACUGACGCUGAGGUGCGAAAGCGUGGGGAGCAAACAGG
rnacentral:rRNA from 1 species